ensembl:lncRNA
UUACAUUAUUUUCUAGAGAGAAUGCGUAAGAGUUAAGUCUCAAGUUGAUUAUACCCAAUGGUGGAAAAAGUACCCAAUUUUCAUACUUGAGUAAAAGUAAACAUACAUACAACAUAGAAAAUGACUCAAGUAAAAGUCAUCCAGUAAAAUACUAAUUGAGUAAAAGUCUAAAUAUACUUAAGUAUCAAAAGUACAUGUAAAAGUACAAAUAAUGUCAAAUUCCUUAUAUUAAGCAAACCAGACAGCACCAUUUUCUAGUUUUUUAAUUUAUUGAUAGCCAGGGGGACACUCCAACACCUAGGUAUAAUUUACAAACGAAGCAUUUGUGUUUAGUGAGUCUGCCAGAUCAGAGGCAGUAGGGAUGACCAGGGUUGUUCUCUUGAUAAGUGCGUGAAUUGGACCGUUUUCCUGUCCUAAUAAGCAUUCAAAAUGUUGUCUCUACCUUCUUGCCCUUUGUGUUGUUGUCUGUGCCCAAUAAUGUUUGUACCCUGUUUUGUGCUGCUACCAUGCUGUGUUGUCAUGUGUUGCUGCCAUGCUAUGUUGUUGUCUUUAGGUCUCUUUAUGUAGUGUUGUGUUAUCCCCAGUCAUGAUGUGUGUUUUGUCCUAUAUAUAUUUUUUUUUAACAGGUUCUCUUUCCAAGUUUGUUGACAAGGAACUCUCGCGAUAGUUAUUCACAAAGUCGAGGAACGUCAGCGAUAUUGGAAAAGGAGUAUCUCUGGGUACGUUCCAGAACAGAGCUAGCUUGUAUAGCGAUCCGUCUAUUUGUCUGGUUUUGUCGAUAAGUAUAAUUGUUGAGGAAUAUAUAUCACCUUAUAUGCAUUAACGGUGGAGCAACUGGACAUGCUUAGUUGUCUGCUAGCAAGUGUGACAACAGUGAAGAAGACUCACCACGCGUUAGCUACAAUCCACCACAAUGAGAUUAAAGACAUCAUUACUCAAGGAACCAAAACAUAUCCUUUCAAUUGUGUGAAUGACAGAAAGAUACUACAACAGUGCUUUGACUUGAUUGUUGAUAUUUUCUGUUUAAAAAAUAUGGACAGUCAGCAAUCAUGA